UAAAAAAUUCCUUUGAAAAGUAGUAGCUUUGGCUGUCCGAGUUGUAAUUUAGAGAAGUUUUGCCCGUGCUGGAUCCAUAUACAAGUCCUCUGGAAUGGGGUGUCAUAGAGGGUGAGAAUCCCGUCUUUGAUAUGGAUUUUACCAGUGCUUUUGUGGUGCGCUCUCGAAGAGUCGAGUUGUUUGGGAAUGCAGCUCAAAAUGGGUGGUAAAUUCCAUCUAAAGCUAAAUACAGGCGAGAGACCGAUAGCGAACAAGUACCGUGAGGGAAAGAUGAAAAGAACUUUGGAAAGAGAGUUAAACAGUACGUGAAAUUGCUGAAAGGGAAACGCUUGAAGUCAGUCGCGUUGUUCAAGAAUCAGCCUUGCUUUUUUUGCUUGGUGUAUUUCUUGUUCCGAUGGGCCAGCAUCAGUUUUGAUCAUUGGAAAAAGGGUUAGGGAAAUGUAGCAUCUUUCGAUGUGUUAUAGUCUCUGAUCAUAUACAGUGAUUAGGACUGAGGAACUCAGCACGCCGAAAGGGACGGGUCUUCUGACUACGUUACGUGCUUAGAUGUUGGCAUAAUGGCUUUAAUCGACCCGUCUUGAAAACACGGACCAGGGAGUCUAACAUGCCUGCCAGUGUUUGGGUGGGAAAACCCGAGUGCGUAAUGAAAGUGAAAAAGGUUGAGAUCUCUGUCAAUGGAGAGCAUCGACACCCAUAACCUUGAUGUUUUUACUGCAUGGAUAUGCGUAGAGGCAUGUAUGUUGGAACCCGAAGAUUGCUGGACCUAUGCCUGAUUAAGGUGAGCCAGAAGGUAACCUCUGGUGGAGGCUCGUAGCGAUCUGACGUGCAAUCGAUCGUCGAAUUUUGGGCUUCAUUAUAACG
rnacentral:rRNA from 1 species